CUCUCAUGUUCUCUCUCUCUGUUUCUCAAAAUAAAUAAACUUAAAAAUGUAUAGAAAACAGACAAGACAAAAAAUUCUGGUAUGUUAGUUGUGGCAGCACAUGGGCAGCGGAAUGACAGGUGCUGUUUUCCCCAUGCUCGGCAUUUGGCUACAUUGCUUCCAUCCCUGCCUGCUCACGUGCACGUGCGCACACCUGUUCCAGGAUUGUAGUUCCUGGACUCUGAAUUCCUCAGCGUCACAGAGUUUGCAUGUCCCAUCUACAACCCUGAGUCUGGCAUAGCCCAGUUGCUCACCAAAUGUGCAUGAUGGAAUGAAAAAACAAACCUGCCAAAGCAUACCAGAAUAAAGGGUUCAGAUCCAGGCCCUGAGAAGCUAUGCCCCUGAAUCUACCCUCACGCUUGGUUCCUUUUUGCAGACUGAUUAUGCUUCCACUUUGG